rnacentral:tRNA from 1 species
GCGUGAUCUUGCCGUCGGCGGUGGUCUCGUCGUUGCCGACGUCGAGGUGCUCCUUGAGCCGCUCGAAGAUGAGGUCGCCGCCCAUGACCGCGCA